rnacentral:rRNA from 1 species
UUACGGGAGGCAGCAGUGGGGAAUAUUGCGCAAUGGACGCAAGUCUGACGCAGUAACGCCGCGUGCGGGAAGAAGGCCUUCGGGUCGUAAACCGCUUUUCGGAGGGACGAGUGAGGACGGUACCUUCGGAAUAAGUCUCGGCUAACUACGUGCCAGCAGCCGCGGUAAAACGUAGGAGGCGAGCGUUAUCCGGAUUCACUGGGCGUAAAGCGCGUGUAGGCGGUUCGCCAAGUCGGUUGUGAAAGCCCCUGGCUCAACUGGGGGAGGUCAGCCGAAACUGGGGGACUUGAGGGUCAGAGAGGAAGGUGGAAUUCCCGGUGUAGCGGUGGAAUGCGUAGAGAUCGGGAGGAACACUAGUGGCGAAAGCGGCCUUCUGGCUGACUCCUAACGCUGAGACGCGAAAGCGUGGGUAGCAAACGGGAUCAGAUACCCGAGUAGUC